AUUGAACGCUAGCGGGAUGCCUUACACAUGCAAGUCGAACGGAGUGGCGAACGGGUGAGUAAUGUAUCGGAACUUGCCCCGUCGCGGGGGAUACCUCCGCGCAAGCGUAGCUAAUCCCGCAUACUAUUGGAUCUGCCGAUAUCGGAUUAGCUAGUUGGUGGGGUAACGGCUCACAAAGGCGACGAACCGUAGCUGGUUUGAGAGGACGACCCGCCACACUGGGACUGAGACACGGCCCAGACUCCUACGGGAGGCAGCAGUGGGGAAUGUUGGACAAUGGGCGAAAGCCUGACCGAGCCAUGCCGCGUGUGCGAUGAAGGCCUUCGGGUUGUAAAGCACUGUUGGUAGGAAAGCGGUACCUGAAGAAUAAGCACCGGCUAACUACGUGCCAGCAGCCGCGGUAAUUC
rnacentral:rRNA from 1 species